rnacentral:piRNA from 1 species
UGCCAGCCGACGACAUCACAAGCCCCGAUA